ACGAUAGCUCAGAUGGUAGAGUGUCGAACUCUCGUCCUCAAGGUAGUUGGUUCAAUUCCUGGUGU
rnacentral:tRNA from 12 species